GUAGGCGGCAAGCGUUGUCCGGAAUUAUUGGGCGUAAAGCGCGCGAAGGCGGUUCUUUAAGUCUGAUGUGAAAGCCCACGGGCUCAACCGUGGAGGGUCAUUGGAAACUGGAGAACUUGAGUACAGAAGAGGAAAGCGGAAUUCCACGUGUAGCGGUGAAAUGCGUAGAGAUGUGGAGGAACACCAGUGGCGAAGGCGGCUUUCUGGUCUGUAACUGACGCUGAGGCGCGAAAGCGUGGGGAGCAAACAGGAUUAGAUACCCUGGUAGUCCACGCCGUAAACGAUGAGUGCUAAGUGUUAGGGGGUUUCCGCCCCUUAGUGCUGCAGCUAACGCAUUAAGCACUCCGCCUGGGGAGUACGGCCGCAAGGCUG
rnacentral:rRNA from 1 species